UUGAUAGGACAAGUAGAUCAAAAGAAUCAGUGAAGAUAUAGAAACAUAUGAACGAUGGUAUUCAUCAACUUGAUCUUAUAAGCAUUUAUAGAACAUUAGACCCAAGAACUUUAGAAUACGUUUUUAUACCAAGAGGGACUAUAUGCUGGCCCACAAACAUAAUCAAUAAACUUUAAACUACUAAAAUAUUAUAUAGCAUUUUCUCUGAUUACAACUGAAGUAAAUUGAAAAUCAAUAUUAAAAUAUCUAAAUCACCUCUGGUUACAGGUAAGAUGAAAUAAGCAUACUCCAUUUUCUCCAUGCAAGUAUCAAACCUGAACAGAAUGCCUAGAGCAACUAUUUUAGGAAUUAGAAAAGUAAAAACUAGAAGGUAGAUUGGGACAGAACACCAGAAUUUGAAAUAUCACCCAACCUCUGGUCAUUUUAUCAAUUUCUCCUUUGGUAUCUCCCUGCCUGAACUCAACACUGCCUUCUAAAACCCGGAAGUGGUCAUCAGUAAACAAUAGCAAGCUUCCUAAGCAGCCUUUUAGUUCUGUCUCAAAGAGCAGGAAAGAGCUCCAAUUAUCAGAAAGAGUGCAGAAACUUCCUUGUUUUCUUCCUUUCUGUCCUGCUCUCUUACCCCUCGCCCUCAAGCAAUCUCAUGGCAGCUGCUGCAGAGACUGCAGUGAAAGUUCACAGGAGCCAAAACUCUGAGAAUGGAGAGCCUUCCCCUCUGUACUAUGUUGAAGAGGAGUGGUGAGAGUGGGCAUGGUUAUCUUGGUCCAGUUCUCAGAGGGAAUGCUUUCAACUUUUCCCCAUUGAGUAUAAUGUUGGCUGUGGAUUUGUCACAGAUGGCUUUUAUUACAUUGAGGUAUGUACCUUGUAUGCCAGUUUUGCUGAGAGUUUUAAUCAUAAAGGGUUGCAUAAACAGAAUUAAAAUUAAAAAUCACAUGAUCAUUUCAAUAAAUGCAGAAAAAGCAUUUGACAAAAUCUGGGUUUAUGAUUAUUAAGGUAACUCUGUAAAUUCCAAGAGAGCAAGAAUUUAUC
rnacentral:lncRNA from 1 species